UGAUCACGCUGCAGUGUUUGCGCCGCUUCUACGAGACCUGGUUCGUGCAAGUGUUCUCGAGCAAGCUGAAAAUCACCCAUCAGUGGUCGCUGGUUUCCGGCUGAUGGGAUUCAGCUGGUUUUCCUGGAUCGUCUGUGAAUGCCUUGUUACACGGACCGGUCGUCGAUGCACUCGAGGUGCACCGCAUUGACAAGCGGCAGUAGCAGGAUGCAAUCGGCGUGGCCGAGCUGGCAGCGAAGCCGUUUCUCGGUGAGCCAUUUACGCCGAAUGAGGGUGGCCAAGAGCUGGCUGCAUACGUUCGAUUCGUUCGAUAUUCGUUACGCGCACAAUCAAACUGUAUAGCGAUGCCGAGUGUGUCCGGCCAUCGAGACUAGAAGCAUAGCGGAAGCUACGUUGCUGCGUCUAUUGUGGUGCGAUGCGCUGUAUGUUCCGGUUGCCUCUUCAAGUGCAAAUCUACGAACAUGUUUAGAAGAUUUGGCUCUUUCGGUCGCAACGUGUGCCGAGUCGCUGGGGAUAUUGGAUUGUAAGGAAUGAUUAUACUGUCCGCAGGAACCAGAUGAUGACAUCACCAAGGAGCUAAUGCGCUAAAGCUUAUCAGGAGGAGGCGAGAAUGGUUUGAUGUUUUUGGCACAGCUCCCACGUAUCAUCCAUACCACUGUAGAGUUGCGUACAAGUUCAGCAAAAGAGAGAGGGUCGCAUGAGUGGAUGAGCGCUGAGCGCACUGGCUCAAAGAGAGAAUUGUGAGGGAGAGGAAUUGAUGGGAGCGUAUAUAAGCAGGUGCUCAAAGCAAAGAGAGGGCUUUUUGAAAAAAAAAAACAGUUGGACAGAUAACUGUUGGACAGAUAACAACCACAUCAAAUCAGUAUGGCGCAGCCCUGAAUAUGUACAAUGUCAUUGUGGAAAAAGCGACUUACUCGACUUAGAUAUGCAAAGAAAACGGCUUAAAAUGCUCGACUCGGCUUCUUUAAUGGAAGUACUCAAAUUAAGUGAACAGAAAAAACUGCGUUGAUCUCGCUUUAUUUGCCUUAAUCCGGCUUAGUUUUUUUCUUUAUUCAAUUUUAGGGUACUGGUCGUGCGAUUAAAAAAAAUCCGUGUCUCUUUCCUUCGCUUAUUUUGUCGCUACUGGCUUCGUGUCUUUUCAUUCGUGUCGUGGCGGCCCUCUAGCGUUCGGUUCUGUGGUCCGUCGCAGGCGGCCAUCUAGCGCUUGGUUCCAUCCGUCUUGUCGGGCGGCUUGUGAUGGUUGUCUGGCUGUCAACGUACACGGUGGUACACGUUGUUUACAAUCAGAAAGUAAAAACAGCUUUGUGUCGCGGUGCGUUCGAUUAGAUUGCUUAUUCACUAACCGCUAUCCGAGGUUCCUUUAGGUUUACGCACAUCUAACACCGCUAUUUUCACCGAAGGGCGUUCGAAUAUACCGUGCAUUGUUUGCACUGUCACUGACCGCACCUGUCCGUCUGUUGCUUUUAGCACCCCGAUGAUUCGUCCCUUUGGCCAGCUGUUGCGGGGGAGUUGCUCGUCGGCGAUAACGACUAUGUCGUCGAUUUCCAGAGGUUUGGUGGGUUGGUUCCAUUUCGGCCGUUGGGUAAUCUGUGGAAGAUAAUCAUGAACCCACCUUUUCCAGAACAUAUCGGUAAUUUGCUGAGACGCUACCCAGUUUCUUCUCACAGCGCCCGGUGUGGCGUCUAGUGGGAUCCAUGAUCUGAUACCAUUGCUGGAGCCCACCAGGAAGUGGUUUGGUGUCAGCACCGGAGAUUCGUCGUCAUCCAGUGGGACUGCUGUUAACGGCCGUGAAUUCACUACAUUUUCAAUUUCGAUUCCGGAUGAAUCGACACACAAAGGCUACGUGUCGUACUAGAGAUGACCACUUUGAGAAUCGUUUGGCAUCUAUUACUUCUCCUGGAUCUGUGCUGUGUAGGAGAAAAUGUGCGCGUAGUUCUGUGGCUGUUUUCGUUGGAGGUGGCGUCGAUGGCCAGUCCGUCUUCGUCUUUUUUAGGAACGGUGGUCCAUUGACCCAUCUACUGGACGAUUCGAGCGCAUCCUUCGUCCAUUUCGUGCCAUCAUCGGCGACGUUGUCCUUGGAUGGUACCCAUCUCCACUCGGAAAUAUCUGAGGAUUGUAGGAUUUCGCUAACUCGAAACGCUACAAAUUGGUGAUAUUUCCUAUGAUCCGAUGAUAGCCAGUUGAGUACGUCCUCGGAGUCGGUCCAGAACAUCCUCCUGUGGAUAGUAAAGCUCACAGACCUUUGUACUGUCUCGGCAAGUCGAACGCCAAUUACAGCUGCCUGCAGUUCCGACUUAGGGAUUGAUAGGAAGCUGAUCGGUGCUACCUUCGUCUUUGCACUCACUAUGCUACAUUCUAUGAUACCUUUAUCUUCGAAACGAAGGUAGCAGACUGCCGCGAAGCCCAUCUCGCUCGCGUCUACAAACGUGUGGAGCUCUAUUUCAGCGUCUGUUCCUGUUUGGUUUCUGAAACAGCGCGGUAUUUUUAGGCCAGCUAUCUCGGGCAAAUCUUGUGUCCAUUUUAGCCACUUUUCCUCCUGUUGGGGAGGGAUACUGUCGUCCCAACCUAUCGACGAUCGCCACAGCUCCUGAAUUAUUACCUUUAGUCGCAUGACGAAAUGGGCUAUGAAUCCGAGUGGGUCAAAAAUGGUCAUUUGUACUCGUAGUAGUUGUCGCUUUGUUGGACCCUUUUCUUGUGGCAUAGUUAGCUCCUUAAGUUUGUCGGAUAUACGGAACGUAAAGCAGUCAUUUUUAACGUCCCACCACAUUCCGAGUACCUUCUCUGUCUGGGUUUCUCCGAUGUCUAGGUUUUUUUCUUCGGGAGCCGAUGAGCCUAGGAGUGACCUACUGACUGUAGCUGAAUUAGAGAUCCAAUUUCUCAUUUCGAAGCCGGCUGCUGCGUGGAUCUCUGCUACCUUUGUCGCUGUAUUUAUGGCUGCUGCUUCGGGUUCUGCACUGAGCAGCAUGUCGUCUACGUAGUGCUGUUGAAUAAUAGCGUUGACUGCUUCGGGCUGUUGUGACAUGUAUUGCUCUGCAUUAUGAUUUUUUACGUAUUGGGCUAUACUUGGCGAGCAGCACGCUCCGAAAAUCAUCACCUGCAUUACGUACACUUCGGGCUCGUCUUCCAAUUCUCCUUGUUGCCAGAAAAAACGUUGGCAUUGUUGGUCGUCCUUCUUGACCAAGACUUGGUGAAACAUCUCACGGAUGUCACCGCACACUGCUAUCUUAUGUUCCCUGAAUCGUAUAAGUACAGAUAGAAGACAGGUGAUCUGAUCUGGGCCCUUUAGCAGCAUGGAAUUUAGUGAUACACCCUUUGUUUUAGCUGCUGCGUCCCACACUAAUCUCAACUUUCCAGGCUUGUUUUGGUUAAAUACGGGGAAAACGGGUAGGUACCAUAUACGAGAGUAAGAAGACAUCAACUCACUUUUGCUAAGUUUUCUAAUGUAGACUUUUUCCGUGUAUUCUUUAAGCUUCUUUUUAACAGCGUUGUGAAGUUCAGGGUCGCGCGCCAGUUUCAGUUUGAGACAGUUCCAGCGUUUUCUGGCCAUACCUUCGCUGUCGGGUAGCGUGACUCCAUCGUACUUCCACAGCAGCCCUGCUUCGUAUCGCCCUCCGUCCUUCCGGGUGAUGGAUGUCAGUCCUGCAGCUGCUCUUUGCUCUUCCUCCGGUUGUAUGAGACUUCCUCUAAAGAUGCCAAGGCUGUCAAUUGAGAAGUAUUGUUUUACGGCGUUGUGUAGUUCUUGCAGCGUGUCUUCGCAUUUGCAUCGGCUCACCUGAUAGCAGUCCGCUGCAAUGUCUGCCCUUUGCGAUUCCUUACAGCUUCCGAAGAUCAGCCAUCCUAGUUUUGUGUUGACUGCCACCGGCUCGUUAUAUCCCCCUUCUAGGCUUUUCGUUGCAAAACCUAGGCUCGCGUUAUCCAGACCAAUUAGCAGUCGAGGGUGUGCAUGGGCGUAUGACUCCAUGUCUACUCCAUUUAGGUGUGGGUACCUUUUUCCUAAUUCGAUCAGGUUCAGCGUUUGGGAACGGAUGGAUAGGUUGGAGACAGUAUGGGCGUCACUUAUGGUGAAACGGUUGGGUUGUUU